rnacentral:rRNA from 1 species
AGUGAACGCUGGCGGUAGGCCUAACACAUGCAAGUCGGACGGCAGCACAGUAAGAGCUUGCUCUUACGGGUGGCGAGUGGCGGACGGGUGAGGAAUACAUCGGAAUCUACUUUUUCGUGGGGGAUAACGUAGGGAAACUUACGCUAAUACCGCAUACGACCUACGGGUGAAAGCAGGGGAUCUUCGGACCUUGCGCGAUUGAAUGAGCCGAUGUCGGAUUAGCUAGUUGGCGGGGUAAAGGCCCACCAAGGCGACGAUCCGUAGCUGGUCUGAGAGGAUGAUCAGCCACACUGGAGCUGAGACACGGUCCAGACUCCUACGGGAGGCAGCAGUGGGGAAUGUUGGACAAUGGGCGCAAGCCUGAUCCAGCCAUACCGCGUGGGUGAAGAAGGCCUUCGGGUUGUAAAGCCCUUUUGUUGGGAAAGAAAAGCAGCAGGUUAAUACCCCGCGGUUCUGACGGUACCCAAAGAAUAAGCACCGGCUAACUUCGUG